AAAUUUGGAGCAGCAGAGUGAAAGUCUGUCUCAUCAUUGAUCACUGGAGUGGACUUGGCUGAUCUGCCUGGCUAGGUGAAUUUUUCAUCUCUCCUCACAACAUCUUUCUGCAAACCUCACAAAGCUGCACACUGACAUGAGGAGUACCAUGCUGUGUGUCCGGCACAGCGGUGUCUCCUUCUAGAUCCUCCAAACAAGAUGAAAGUCCAUUUGUAGAACACAGAGCAGCCAAGCCUCCAAGUCUUGAGACACAUCCAAAUGAAGGUCUGUAUACUGCAAUUUGCCUUUCAUU
rfam:Pelecanus crispus contig25732, whole genome shotgun sequence.